AAAAAGAUGAUGAUAACUAAUAUUAUACAAGAAGAAAGAGAAGAAGCAAGAAAAAAAAAAAAAAAAUAAAAUAAAAUAAAAUAACUGAAACUUGAAAUAAGUGGCGAAAGAUAUUUCAAAUUUCAUUAUACAAAAUAUUUCUUUUUUCUUUUUUUUUUUUCUUUUAGAAGAUAUAAUCUUAAUUAUAUUUUAUAAAAUAAAUUAAAAAAAAAAAUAUAAUUGUAAAAUCUUCUUAACAAGAACAAAUACAAAACAUUUUGUAUUCUUAUUAUUUCAUUAAUGAAAUGAUAAUUUACAAACUUGAUAAAAUAGAAAAAAUUAAAAAAUAAAAUAAAUCUUUACGAAUGUUAGAGAUAAUUUUUAUAUAUUUUAUUUUUUACCUAUUUAUCAAAACACCAAAAGGGAAAAAAAAAAGAAAAGGAAUAAAUCAAUAAAUAUAUAUAUAUAUAUAUAUAUAUAUAUAUAUAUAUAUAUAUAUUUUAUAUAUAUACAUAUUUGUCAAUUGGACAAAAUUGUUUGCUCCUUUGACACAGUAUGAAUUUUUUUUUUUUUUCUUUUUUUGCUUCUUCUCAUUUCUAUUAUCAUGAUUGAAGAAUGGAAAAAAUCUUUGGUAAUCUGAUUUUUAAUGA